rnacentral:rRNA from 1 species
CAUAGCGACUAAUCGUGGCAUAUCAAUAAGCGGAGGAAAAGAAACUAACAAGGAUUCCCUUAGUAACGGCGAGUGAAGCGGGAAGAGCUCAAAUUUGAAAUCUUCAAGGUUUUACCUUGACGAAUUGUAGUUUAAAGAAGUGUUUUCUGUUGGAGUUUUGGUAAAAGUUCUUUGGAAUAGGACAUCAUAGAGGGUGAGAAUCCCGUAUUUGACCAUUAUUUCCAGCUGUGUGAUACACUUUCAAAGAGUCGGAUUGUUUGGGAAUGCAGUCCAAAAUGGGUGGUAAAUUUCAUCUAAAGCUAAAUAUUGGCGAGAGACCGAUAGCGAACAAGUACCGUGAGGGAAAGAUGAAAAGAACUUUGAAAAGAGAGUUAAACAGUACGUGAAAUUGUCAAAAGGGAAGCGUUUGACACCAGUGUUGUUUUCUCGAAAAUCAAUUAAAAAUGAUGGGAUUUUGUGUUGUAUUGACUUUAUCAGCUUUCUGCACUUUUUUCUUAUCUUUUUUAAUGCACUUUUCGUUUAACAAGUCAACAUCAAUUUCUUUUGUUGUAAAAGAGUCAUUGGAAGGUGGCUUUUUCUUCGGAAAAAGUGUUUAUAGCCUUUGGCUUCUGCAAUCGAAGAGAUUGAGGUCUGCAGCGUAGAUCCUUCGGGGUUAGAUACAUUUGUGCUAAGCUAUAGUUCUUUAUAGACAACUUGUUGACUAUAAUCAAUCCUGUAACUUACUCGCUUAUGCUAUUUUACCUACGCUUAGGAUGUUGAUAUGCAUGACUGAUAU